rnacentral:rRNA from 1 species
GUCUAAGCGUUGAGGCAGACUAGAUAGGCAAAUCCGUUUAGUUAAUGCUGGGGCGCGAUGGGGAGCGAAACUAAGUAGCGAAGCAGCUGAUUUCACACUGUCGAGAAAAGUCUCUAUCGAGAUUAAAGGUACCCGUACCGCAAACCGACACAGGUGGGUGAGGAGAGUAUCCUAAGGCCAGCGAGAGAACUGUUGUUAAGGAACUCGGCAAAAUGACCCCGUAACUUAGGGAUAAGGGGUGCCCCAGCAAUGGGGCCGCAGAGAAUUGGCCCAAGCGACUGUUUACCAAAAACAUAGGUUUCUGCUAAGUCGCAAGACGAUGUAUAGGAGCUGACGCCUGCCCGGUGCUGGAAGGUUAAGGGGAUCUGUAAGAGCAAUCGAAGCAGUGAUCUUAAGCCCCAGUAAACGGCGGCCGUAACUAUAACGGUCCUAAGGUAGCGAAAUUCCUUGUCGGGUAAGUUCCGACCCGCACGAAAGGCGUAACGAUUUGGGCACUGUCUCAACAACAGACUCGGUGAAAUUGUAAUCCCGGUGAAGAUGCCGGGUACCUGCGACAGGACGGAAAGACCCCAUGGAGCUUUACUGUAGCUUGACAUUGGGUUUCGAUACUACAUGUACAGGAUAGGUGGGAGACUAAGAAAUCAGGGCGUCAGUUUUGAUGGAGUCACCCUUGGGAUACCACCCUUGUAGUAUUGGGACUCUAACCAUAGGCCAUGAAUCUGGUCUUGGGACACUGUCUGGUGGGCAGUUUGACUGGGGCGGUCGCCUCCCAAAAGGUAACGGAGGCGCUCAAAGGUUCCCUCAGUACGGUCGGAAAUCGUACGAAGAGUGUAAAGGCAAAAGGGAGCUUGAUUGCAAGACAUACAGGUCGAGCAAGGUAGAAAUACGGACUUAGUGAUCCGGUGGUUCUGAGUGGAAGGGCCAUCGCUCAACGGAUAAAAGCUACCCUGGGGAUAACAGGCUUAUCUCCCCCAAGAGUCCACAUCGACGGGGAGGUUUGGCACCUCGAUGUCGGCUCAUCACAUCCUGGGGCUGUAGUUGGUCCCAAGGGUUGGGCUGUUCGCCCAUUAAAGUGGUACGCGAGCUGGGUUCAGAACGUCGUGAGACAGUUCGGUCCCUAUCCGUCGCAGGCGUAGGAAAUUUGAGAAGAUCUGUCCUUAGUACGAGAGGACCGGGAUGGACAUACCUCUGGUGUACCAGUUGUUCUGCCAAGGGCAUGGCUGGGUAGCUAUGUAUGGAAGGGAUAAGCGCUGAAAGCAUCUAAGCGCGAAGCCAACUUCAAGAUAAGAUUUCCCACCGCAAGGUUAAGAUCCCAGGAAGACUACCUGGUUGAUAGGUCAGAGGUGUAAGUGCAGCAAUGUAUGUAGCUUACUGAUACUAAUAGAUCGAGGACUUGACC